rnacentral:sRNA from 1 species
UGCCUAACCCCUAUAUCAUUUGGCGAUUUCCGAUGUAAGGUAUGGCAAAGAUAAAACCCUACGCGAAUAAAGAUGGUCUUCUGACCGGCACUUAUUCGCGUAGGUUUAUGCCUGAAAGGGCGUAGGACAGUUCUGAAAGGGAUUGUC